ACCUGACUAGCUCGGUCAGUGGAACACGAGACUUUUGAUCUCAGGGUUGUGAGUUCAAGCCCCAUGUUGGGUG
rnacentral:tRNA from 1 species